GUUGUUUUACAGGGUCAGUCAUAGUAGUAUGAUAGGUGUUGUUUUACAGGGUCAGUAGUAUGAUAGGUGUUGUUUUACAGGGUCAGCCAUAGUAGUAUGAUAGGUGUUGUUUUACAGGGUCAGUCAUAGUAGUAUGAUAGGUGUUGUUUUACAGGGUCAGUCAUAGUAGUAUGAUAGGUGUUGUUUUACAGGGUCAGUCAUAGUAGUGUGAUAGGUGUUGUUUUACAGGGUCAGUCAUAGUAGUGUGAUAGGUGUUGUUUUACAGGGUCAGUCAUAGUAGUAUGAUAGGUGUUGUUUUACAGGGUCAGUAGUAUGAUAGGUGUUGUUUUACAGGGUCAGUCAUAGUAGUAUGAUAGGUGUUGUUUUACAGGGUCAGUCAUAGUAGUAUGAUAGGUGUUGUUUUACAGGGUCAGUCAUAGUAGUAUGAUAGGUGUUGUUUUACAGGGUCAGUAGUAUGAUAGGUGUUGUUUUACAGGGUCAGUAGUAUGAUAGGUGUUGUUUUACAGGGUCAGUCAUAGUAGUGUGAUAGGUGUUGUUUUACAGGGUCAGUCAUAGUAGUAUGAUAGGUGUUGUUUUACAGGGUCAGUCAUAGUAGUAUGAUAGGUGUUGUUUUACAGGGUCAGUCAUAGUAGUAUGAUAGGUGUUGUUUUACAGGGUCAGUCAUAGUAGUAUGAUAGGUGUUGUUUUACAGGGUCAUAGUAGUAUGAUAGGUGUUGUUUUACAGGGUCAGUCAUAGUAGUAUGAUAGGUGUUGUUGUACAGGGUCAGUCAUAGUAGUAUGAUAGGUGUUGUUUUACAGGGUCAGUCAUAGUAGUAUGAUAGGUGUUGUUUUACAGGGUCAGUCAUAGUAGUAUGAUAGGUGUUGUUUUACAGGGUCAGUCAUAGUAGUAUGAUAGGUGUUGUUUUACAGGGUCAGUCAUAGUAGUAUGAUAGGUGUUGUUGUACAGGGUCAGUCAUAGUAGUAUGAUAGGUGUUGUUUUACAGGGUCAGUCAUAGUAGUAUGAUAGGUGUUGUUUUACAGGGUCAGUCAUAGUAGUAUGAUAGGUGUUGUUUUACAGGGUCAGUCAUAGUAGUAUGAUAGGUGUUGUUUUACAGGGUCAGUCAUAGUAGUAUGAUAGGUGUUGUUUUACAGAGUCAGCCAUAGUAGUAUGAUAGGUGUUGUUUUACAGGGUCAGUCAUA